CCUAACAGGCCGUGGACCGGUAUACAUCUAUGGCCUGGGGGUUGCAGACCCCUGCUCUACUUCCUAUGGAGUUUCGCUCUUGUUGCCCAGGCUGGAAUGCAAUGGCGUGAACCCAGUAUGCGUGCCAUGAAAUUAAUUGUACAGGUCUUCAAGCCUCAGCACAAAGAAAGGAUAAAUGUUGGAGGUGACGGAAAUCCUAAAUACCCCGAUUUGAUCAUUACACAGUGUCUGCAUGGAUCAAAAUAUCACAGGCACCCCAUAAAUAUGUAUAAUUAUUAUGGAUCAAUAAAAAUAAAUUUAAAA